UUGGAGGGCAAGUCUGGUGCCAGCAGCCGCGGUAAUUCCAGCUCCAAUAGCGUAUAUUAAAGUUGUUGCAGUUAAAAAGCUCGUAGUUGAACUUCGGGGUUCACCCAUUGGUCAGGCUUAAUUGUCUGUACUGGUGAGAUGAGUCUCUACCUUCUGAGGAACUUUCAUGCCAUUUGUUUGGUGUGAUGGGAAAUCAGGACUGUUACUUUGAAAAAAUUAGAGUGUUUAAAGCAGGCUAACGUCUGAAUACAUUAGCAUGGAAUAAUGAAAUAGGACGGAUUGAUUCUAUUUCGUUGGUUUCUAGGGUCACCGUAAUGAUUAAUAGGGAUAGUUGGGAGCAUUAGUAUUCAAUUGUCAGAGGUGAAAUUCUUGGAUUUAUUGAAGACUAACUACUGCGAAAGCAUUUGCCAAGGAUGUUUUCAUUAAUCAAGAACGAAAGUUAGGGGAUCGAAGACGAUCAGAUGCCGUCGUAGUCUUAACCAUAAACUAUGCCGACUAGGGAUCGGACGAAGUUAAUUUUAUAAUGACGCGUUCGGCACCUUACGGGAAACCAAAG
rnacentral:rRNA from 1 species